CCCCAGCCCAAAUUUCCGUUGUCACGAUCCACAUGUUGCUGUUCCUCAGCAAGCACUUAGCUUCACCCCUUAGACCUGCAAGUCAGAGACUUGAGUUUAAAUUUCCAAUACUAUUUGGCAGUGCUUUUUUAUGGGGGUACGCAUACCCUUAAACGUUUUGUGCAUCUAAAUUUGGCCUCACUGAGGGGCAGUAUUUCAAUAUGAGUAGGAAAAUGACAGUACCCCUAAACAUUUUUUAGGGGGGGAAAAGCACUACUACUUGGACUUCUUAUAUUUCCUUUCUGACUGGGCUACUCAAGCAGUUGCUCUGGCAUUGGAUUCCCUCAUUACUUGUUUUUAUCCUGUAUUUUAUUCUGUGAACUGCCCUGAGAUCUUAUGAUGAAGGCUGGUACAUAAAUCUAAAUAAUAUUAAUAUUAAUAUUAACAACAGCAACAACAACACCACCACCUUCCUGAUUUGCCACUAGGCCCAGUUUUUCACAUAAACUAGCCAUCCUUGCCCAACCCAAAUCCUGAUUAAAAACCUCUAGUAGAUGCGCCUCUCUUAACAAGUUAGUUGGCACUUUCCAUUAAUGAUCUGAACAAUUAAUAUGUUAAAAACCGGUUGGGUUUUUUUGUUUUGUUUUUUUUAACAUGAUAUUUUGGAAAGCCCGUUAUCCACAGUGCUUUGAAUUACUGCGAAAGGGGGAAAGCGACUGCUUAAUUCAGUUGGGGGUGGGGAGGAGGAAUUCUGAGCAUGUAUCCUCUUUCCCCCCCCAACAACAACAAAAAUUCCUUUGAGCUUUUCUUUUUUCUUCUUCUUCUUUUUUAGGUACAAAGGUUGCAGACGCAUGCGCAGCUUCUGGAUUAACGCAACAGACCAUUACAGAUUUAAGAGCCGUUACGGUAUAUCAAGUGAGUAAACAAAAAAAAACUAAGGCAGAUUUAUACAAUGACCACAUUGGCACCCCGGGAGCCGUUACGGUCCAUCAGGUCAAAAAUCCACUUUUUAAAGAGCACCUAAAUAUGUGUGUAACCAAUAGGCCUCAGGUCUCCAGAGUAACAAGCACACAGAUUUUCAAAAACAAGAAUAGAGAGGAGUUAUGGGAUGGUGGCAGUUUGGGGGGAGAAAGUAAGGUAAAUCACCCACAAUUUAAAUGCCUAAACAGUAUGUGUCUGGUUCAAACAGGUUUAAAAUAUGGGUUUUAAAUAAACUUCUGGCUUCCUGUGUACAAUUCUGCAAAUACAUUUCUGCCAUCAAUACAGUGAAAGCAAAGUUGUUUAACUUUGCAACGUAAGUCACAUAUUUAAAUAUAAUGGAGGUCAUACUAAUAAAACUCCAAACUUGAAUACCAGGCUUGGUAGCAACUAAACUCUAUAUUCCACUUCUCCUGCUAUAAGAGAAGUCAGGUCUACAUGGUUAACUUUCCCUCUCGUUGCUUUUGUUGCAAACCAGAGAAUAACACUCCUAUAAACAUCUAACAUAAAAGGCCAAGUGCAAUGUUCCAAGUGAAACCCACCGUGAAUCAUUCUCCUACUUACAGUUUAUUCUUGGCCUUCCCCUUUUUAACGCAGUAUUUGUUCCAACGGAAAACUGAAGAAGAACUUCAUCUCUCCAUAUGACCUGAGAUAACAGUAACGUUGAAAGAAUGGCCUGGCUUGUCAGGGAUAAUCCAAGGGCUGUCCGCAGCUACGCUUUUUUUUAAAAAAGCACACACACAUGAGCCCAAAAGGACUAAUAAAUGCUAACUCUCAGCAUGACACAUCAGGAACUUUAAGCCCCUAACACCGACUAAGAAGAAAGUCUCCCAAAUUUACCAAAAUUAUCUGCAACACAAUGGAGAAGAGAAGGAAUUAAUCAAAGUCUCUCUCUUAAUGCAAUGCUUGAUUGAACUAUCCCAAUCCCUUUUCAAAUGGGAUAACCAAGUGGCAAGUGACCUCGAUGAAACAUCCCAGAGAGGUACACAAGUACCACUUGUUCAAUUUUUUCCCUUUUAUGACCUCAUUAGGAAGGAUUUUGAAGGUUGCUCCUGAAUAUUAGAACAAAGUGUCUCAACACUACCUCUCUAGGAUUCUUACGUCUCUUGUGUAUGUGCUUUGUUUUUGUUUUGUUUUAUUUUCCUCUAGCGGCGGCUUUUUGAAUGGAAUGUUUGGAACACACACACACACACACACACACACACACACACUUCUGGAGAAAUAAUCUACCAUGCAAAAACAAAUCCCUCAAAGUUACAUUUCUUUCCCUAAAUGGAGAGCCUUGGAAAGAGUCUAGGGCUUUUGCCAAAACCAACUCAUGAGUCCAUCUUUCUCUCCAUCUCCCUUCCUGUUAAUAGUCCCCAUUAAUUAGAGCUGGCUGCGGUUUUCACUUCCUUAUCAGGAAUGAUGCAGAGGCUGCCAAAUCAGCUAGUGUGAAAAUAUUCCAUUGCCAGUAAUGUGUUCCACCCCCCCCCCUUUCCCCUCUCCCUAAGUGUUUGUUGAUUCCAUGCUUGGAUUUAAUUUGGAGGAUUGUAUUUUAUAACCAGAAACAAACAAACAGAUUUAUAACCAAAGAUGGAAAGGCAAACAGCAAAAAAAAAAGGGGGGGGGGGGAGAAAAGCCGAGCCAAGCACUGCAACUAAGCCCACCACUUUUAUUGACUUCUUAAAAACCAAAUAACCUGGCAUAUUAGUGUGUGCAUUCUGCAACAGACAUUCAGCUCCAUUGUACUACUUAGAAGGGAAUAAAAGGAAACCCUACUGUUUGAAAUCCAGCGGAACAUCCCCACAACAGAGCACAACUGUUCCCUCAUGCAUGAAUGGGAAGGAGAUGAAAGAAAAGAUGGACUUCUGAGGUGCAGCAAAAAACAAAGACAACAAAAGUGCUGAUCAUGAGGGAAUGACACAACUCAUUGCCGCAAAAAGGAUGAGAGAAAGGAGCUCAAACAAUAGUGUAGACAGCUAAGUGACAUGUAGAAGAAUUGAAAAAUCUACAGAAGUGCCUUUUCUCUCCACACUUGACGAGAAACAAUUAAAUGUUGGUACAUCUGUCAUAAAAAGGAUAAUUGAAACCUGUUACCGUCAUUAUGGACAGCAACUUAACUACCAAAACUGUAACUGUCCAAUUAAAUGUUGCCCCCUCUGUUAUCUACACCACUUGCUAAAAUGAAAAGCUUUGAUUCCUCUGAUAAUUUGCCA
rnacentral:lncRNA from 1 species